rnacentral:lncRNA from 1 species
CGAUUCAUACAACGAUGGCGACGACCAACUCCCCCGUCCACCCAUGCCAGUCUCUCCGCUCCGCCGCUCAUAAACGGUGACUUUUUUCCUACCCCCACAAAACCCUAAACCUGCUGCCUCUCCAAAACUGCCAUUGUCUCCCUUGCAAGCCCCUGCUCCUCUUCACUCCACGUCUUUCUCCACCCCCUUCCCUCAGUUGCAUUUCAUUGGCGACACUUCCGUCUCUCCCAACCUCGAACUGCCCU